rnacentral:rRNA from 1 species
AUUCCAGCUCCAAUAGCGUAUAUUAAUGUUGUUGCAGUUAAAAAGCUCGUAGUUGGAUUUCUGGAUCGAGCGCUCUGUCCGUCGCUGUGCGAUGCGUACUUGAGUCGUCUCGUUUCAUCCUUGCAGGGAAGCGCGUUCGACAUUUGUUUGUCGACGCGGGGAACUGCAUCUUUUACUGUGAAAAAAUUAGAGUGUUUAAAGCAGGCAUUUUGCUGUGAAUACAUUAGCAUGGAAUAAUAACAUAGGACCCUGGUUCUAUUUUGUUGGUUGGAGGCCAAGGUAAUGAUUAAUAGGGACAGUUGGGGCAUUAGUAUUUAUUAGCUAGAGGUGGAAUUCUCUAAUUUGAUAAAGACUAACUUAUGCGAAAGCAUUUGCCAAGGAUGUUUUCAUCA